AGGACGAACGCUGGCGGCGUGCUUAACACAUGCAAGUCGAGCGGAAAGGCCCUUCGGGGUACUCGAGCGGCGAACGGGUGAGUAACACGUGAGUAACCUGCCCUGGACUUUGGGAUAACCCUCGGAAACGGGGGCUAAUACCGAAUAUUACUUCCCCUCGCAUGGGGGGUGGUGGAAAGUUUUUCGGUCUGGGAUGGGCUCGCGGCCUAUCAGCUUGUUGGUGGGGUGAUGGCCUACCAAGGCGACGACGGGUAGCCGGCCUGAGAGGGCGACCGGCCACACUGGGACUGAGACACGGCCCAGACUCCUACGGGAGGCAGCAGUGGGGAAUAUUGCACAAUGGGCGGAAGCCUGAUGCAGCGACGCCGCGUGAGGGAUGACGGCCUUCGGGUUGUAAACCUCUUUCAGCAGGACGAAGCGCAAGUGACGGUACCUGCAGAAGAAGCGCCGGCCAACUACGUGCCAGCAGCCGC
rnacentral:rRNA from 1 species